rnacentral:rRNA from 1 species
UACGAAGGGGGCUAGCGUUGUUCGGAAUUACUGGGCGUAAAGCGCGCGUAGGCGGGUUGGUAAGUCCGCUGUGAAAGCCCGGAGCUUAACUCCGGAGGGUCGGUGGAUACUGCCAGUCUUGAAGGUGCUAGGGGGGAGAUGGAAUUACCGGUGUAGCGGUGAAAUGCGUAGAUAUCGGGAGGAACACCUGUGGCGAAAGCGGCUCACUGGACCACAACUGACGCUGAGGCGCGAAAAGCUAGGGGAGCAAACAGGG